rnacentral:rRNA from 1 species
CCUACGGGUGACAGCAGUGAGGAAUAUUGGUCAAUGGCCGGAAGGCUGAACCAGCCAAGCCGCGUGAAGGACGAAGGUGCCAAGCAUUGUAAACUUCUUUUGUCAAGGGACAAAAUCAGGCUCGAGAGCCUGACCGAGGGUACUUGAAGAAAAAGCAUCGGCUAACUCCGUGCCAGCAGCCGCGGUAAUACGGAGGAUGCGAGCGUUAUCCGGAUUUAUUGGGUUUAAAGGGUGCGUAGGCGGGAUGUUAAGUCAGCGGUAAAAGCCCGGGGGGACACCCCGGGGAGCCGUGGAAACUGGCUGUGUUGAGAUGUCGAGAGGUAUGCGGAAUGCGCAGGGUAGCGGUGAGAUGCUUAGAUAUUGCGCAGAACUCCGAUUGCGAAGGCAGAAUACCGGCGGCGAUCUGACGCGGAGGCACGCAAGCGUGGGUAUAGAACAGGAUUAGAUACCCGUGUAGUC